GGGGGGGGGGGGCCUCACCUCGCAGGUCGAGCGAACUGAUUAGAAGCUUGCUUCUAUGACGUUAGCGGCGGACGGGUGAGUAACACGUGGGCAACCUGCCUGUAAGACUGGGAUAACUUCGGGAAACCGACGCUAAUACCGGAUAGGAUCUUCUCCUUCGUGGGAGAUGAUUGAAAGAUGGUUUCGGCUAUCACUUACAGAUGGGCCCGCGGUGCAUUAGCUAGUUGGUGAGGUAACGGCUCACCAAGGCGACGAUGCAUAGCCGACCUGAGAGGGUGAUCGGCCACACUGGGACUGAGACACGGCCCAGACUCCUACGGGAGGCAGCAGUAGGGAAUCUUCCGCAAUGGACGAAAGUCUGACGGAGCAACGCCGCGUGAGUGAUGAAGGCUUUCGGGUCGUAAAACUCUGUUGUUAGGGAAGAACAAGUACCAGAGUAACUGCUCGUACCUUGACGGUACCUAACCAGAAAGCCACGGCUAACUACGUGCCAGCAACCGCGGUAAUACGUAGGUGGCAAGCGUUAUCCGGAAUUAUUGGGCGUAAAGCGCGCGCAGGCGGUUUCUUAAGUCUGAUGUGAAAGCCCACGGCUCAACCGUGGAGGGUCAUUGGAAACUGGGGAACUUGAGUGCAGAAGAGAAAAGCGGAAUUCCACGUGUAGCGGUGAAAUGCGUAGAGAUGUGGAGGAACACCAGUGGCGAAGGCGGCUUUUUGGUCUGUAACUGACGCUGAGGCGCGAAAGCGUGGGGAGCAAACAGGAUUAGAUACCCUGGUAGUCCACGCCGUAAACGAUGAGUGCUAAGUGUUAGAGGGUUUCCGCCCUUUAGUGGUGCAGCUAACGCAUUAAGCACUCCGCCUGGGGAGUACGGUCGCAAGACUGAAACUCAAAGGAAUUGACGGGGGCCCGCACAAGCGGUGGAGCAUGUGGUUUAAUUGGAAGCAACGGGAAGAACCUUACCAGGUCUUGACAUCGUGUGACAGGUCUAGAGAUAGAGCGUUCCCCUUCGGGGGACAGAGUGACAGGUGGUGCAUGGUUGUCGUCAGCUCGGGUCGUGAGAUGUUGGGUUAAGUCCCGCAACGAGCGCAACCCUUGAUCUUAGUUGCCAGCAUUUAGUUGGGCACUCUAAGGUGACUGCCGGUGACAAACCGGAGGAAGGUGGGGAUGACGUCAAAUCAUCAUGCCCCUUAUGGCGUGGGGUACACACGUGGUACAAUGGAUGGUACAAAGGGGUGCAAGGCCGCGGGGUCAAGCCAAUCCCAUAAAACCAUUCUCAGUUCGGAUUGUAGGCUGCAACUCGCGUACAUGAAGCUGGAAUCGCUAGUAAUCGCGGAUCAGCAUGCCGCGGUGAAUACGUUCCCGGGCCUUGUACACACCGCCCGUCACACCACGAGAGUGGGUAACACCGGAAGUCGGUGGAGUAACCGUAAGGAGCUAGCCGCCAUAAGGGGGGAAAC
rnacentral:rRNA from 4 species